UACGUAGGGCGCAAGCGUUGUCCGGAAUUAUUGGGCGUAAAGAGCUCGUAGGCGGUCUGUCGCGUCCGUUGUGAAAACUCGAGGCUCAACCUCGGGCUUGCAGUGGAUACGGGCAGACUAGAGUGCGGUAGGGGGAGACUGGAAUUCCUGGUGUAGCGGUGGAAUGCGCAGAUAUCAGGAGGAACACCGAUGGCGAAGGCAGGUCUCUGGGCCGCAACUGACGCUGAGGAGCGAAAGCGUGGGGAGCGAACCGG
rnacentral:rRNA from 1 species